rnacentral:rRNA from 1 species
GACGAACCGGGCGAACGUUGUUCGGAAUCACUGGGCUUAAAGGGCGCGUAGGCGGGCAGGCAAGUCUGGGGUGAAAUCUUUCGGCUUAACCGGAAAAGUGCAUUGGAUACUGCUUGUCUAGAGGGAGGUAGGGGCAGAUGGAACUUCCGGUGGAGCGGUGAAAUGCGUUGAUAUCGGAAGGAACGCCGGUGGCGAAAGCGAUCUGCUGGACCGCUUCUGACGCUGAGGCGCGAAAGCUAGGGGAGCAAACGGG